GAGUAGGGGGAACAGCACAGAGAUCCCCCUCCUCCAGCCAAGCCUUUUGGGCCACUGAGGAGCUGGCACAUACCGGCGACCAACAAGGUGCCACCCGGCACACAUUGAGCCCUUCCUCUCCUCCUUCGGUCAACACCCACCGCUCGUAAUGCCUCCGAGCCCUCCUGCUGCCUGCGCCGGCCUCCAGCCCAGCGACCCCCACACGCAGGACGGGAGCAUCCCAGGGGGAUCUGUGCACAACGUCCCCACGCCGCCCAGCCUGCCUGGUCCCAUCUGUAACCCCUGGGGGUUAUUCCUACGUUGUCCUGAGUUGGGCCGUUCCCCAAAUACACCUGCUCGCCCUCAUGCUGCCUCUGCUGCCUAGCUCUGCCUACAGCUUGGGUGAUCCGGCUCCACAGGGCACAGAGACCACAGCCUGCCCCUGCUUGCACCUUUUUUGGAGGGUCUAAGGCCCAUCCUCUGGAGUCAGACACCAAAGGAGGGUGUUUGCUUUGGAUUUCUAAAGCAAGUUUCUCACCAUCCUGACGGCAGUGGAAAAAAAAAGAAUCUCAGGAGGUGGGAUGGCCCUAAUGCUCUAAACCUGGAAAUAAAUCACCUGAAAAAAACA